AUGCCAGUGCCUUCCACUGCGGCGUCUGCAGCCUCCCUCUGGAGCCGCCAAUCUUCCAGUGCGCUCUGGGGCUGGCGGUGUGCUCGGCGUGCCGCGGCCCAGGCUACCGCCGGUGCCGCGCCGGAGAACAUCCUGGGCACCGUCCGCGUGUCGUGCCCCCACGCCGCUCACGGCUGCGGCGCCAUGCUGGCCUACUACGACCUGCACCAGCACCGAAUGACGUGCGCCAACGCGCCGUGCGCGCGCUGCCCUUUGGGCACAUGCUGUUUCGUCGGCCCAAUGGCAGAGCUCCUGGACCACUUCAUCACCCUGCACGAGCUGCCGCUGACCGCCGAGGACCGCGCCGGGAAGAGCUUCGGCAUCGACCUCCUUGACGGCUUCAACGUCGUCUCCACGACGGUCCGCGACGGCGCCGACCAGCACUUGCUCCUGCUAAACGUUGUGCGCCAGCCGUUUGGUCGCGGGAUCGCCGCGGUCUGCGUGCGGCCUCCGCCCGCUGCCACCGCGUCGUCGUCGUCGUCCUCGGCAGCGGCCGCGUCCAAGACGGUGGUACUCGAGCUCCGCUACUCGGUCAAUCGCCAUUACCAAGAAUCUGCAUUCGAUGUGCCUUUCGCGGAUCUCGCCGAUGGGUUCCUGGAAGACGACGAGUCGGCCCAGUUCAUCGUGCCCAAGUCUGUUCAUCCGGACGACCAGGCUACUAUGCUCCUCAUGGCCUUCAUUUCCAUCAAAUAG
rnacentral:rRNA from 1 species